rnacentral:rRNA from 1 species
UGAUGCAGCCAUGCCGCGUGUAUGAAGAAGGCCUUCGGGUUGUAAAGUACUUUCAGCGAGGAGGAAGGCAUUAAGGUUAAUAACCUUAGUGAUUGACGUUACUCGCAGAAGAAGCACCGGCUAACUCCG